GACAGAGAAGGAGACAGGGGAGGAGACAGGGGAGGAGACAGAGAAGGAGAAGCUCUUGUCCAGUGACAGCUCAGGUUCAGCUUCUGACCCCGGGGCCAAAAGGAAAAUAAAAAUCCCACUUUGAAUGUAAAAAUAA